CUUCUUCACUUCUUGGGUGCGAUCCCUGAGGACCCCUCUCCCGCCUUUUCCUCACAGUUUGGUAUCACUGGAGCCAGGUGGUACAGUUUCCCGUUGUUUGGUUGUUUUGUUUUUCUUUCUUAUACCAACUUUUUUAUUUCUAUGAGGCCGCCUAAGGGCACUUGCUGGCUGCCACCAUUAGUCAGCACUCUUGUGGAACAACUGUUCAACGAAAGCCAGAGGAGAAAGUAACUCCCUUUGUUUACCUAAGAUCCUGUAAAAAGGUCGCAGGUGAAAACCGUUGAGUUUGAGGACACCCAUUUCUACCCUGCUGUUCUCGGCAAGUGCUGCGGCAGGCUGGCUGGUGGGUGUUCACCGAGAAACGGGAGUUUGUAAAUUCUCCGAUGGGCCUGGGCCUUCCUGCAGCAUCCUGGGCGUCACCACCAUUGUCAUUUAGAUUUCCAGUUGCUGUGGCUGUGAGGGUUUAUUUCUUCAGGUCGUUGCAGUCUUUAAAAGGUUGAUUGUCAGACUAUUGUAUGGUGACUUUCUUGGUGGCUCAGUGGUUAAGAAUCUGCCUGUCAAUGCUAAGGGACACGGGUUCGAGCCUUGGUUCGGGAAGAUCCCACAUGCCGCGGAGCAACUAAACCCGUGCACCACAACUACUGAGCCUGCGCUCUAGAAACUGCACGCCACAACUACUGAGCCCACGUGCUUAAAGCCCGCGCACCGCAGCAAAGACCCAACGCAGCCAAAAAUAAGUAAAUAAGUUUAUAUUUAAAAAAAAAAAAAGAACUAUAUGAGACACCCUGAAGCUUUCCCGAAAUACUUUAGGGGAUAAGUGGCACUCCAGCCUGGUCCUGUCCAGGACUCUUACUGUUUUGUUGGGCCCUCUGUUGAUCACAUGAGCAUUUUAUAUGGAAAUACAGAGACCGCCUCUGUAGGGUCUCCUUCCAGGCAUGUGACCCUGCGGAAGGGGCUCUCAUUGUUUUGCAAAUUUGGAAAUGAAGCACCUGAGCCCUCUCUGUUGGGGCCGAUGGGGCGCAGGCAGCAGCCUGGUGGGGUCGGAGGUGCGGCUCCAGGAGCAAAGUAGGAGCGUCCCUCUGGCCCCCCAAGCCCCUCUCCCGCACUGGCCUUGCUCAAUAAGCAUUUAUUGAGCUCCAGGGGCUGGGGUCAGAGAUGACCGAGAUGCUGUUCCUGCCGCUGUCACCCAUUCAACAAACAGUGCCUCUGCGCCGUGCCGGGAGCUCCCAAACUGGGGAACGGGCGUUUGGGGCUAUGGGGGCACUGGAGGGAACUCGGCUUAGAGGAGAGAAGCUGCUAGAGGUUUUCUGGAGUAAGGAACCUCCAGGAUUACGUUAGUCUGGCUAAGGAAUUUGGACUUUAUUCUGAGGGCGUUGGAGAGCCCCUGAAAGGUUUCUUAAAGGGUGAACUAAGAAAUUUGCAUUUUACAACAAGACUUUACAAAUUGAAACGCUAAGGAGAGCGGAUUGGCAACACUUCAAAUUCAGAUUGGUAAUUUAACCCAGGUGGCCUGUGAUGGGGGUCAAAGCUAUUCUUAAUCACAUUUGGAGGGAAUUUUAAGUGAUAACAGCUCUUUUUGUAGGGCUGUUUGGCAGGCUGUUAAAAUUGUGUAUAUCUCCCUUCUUGCUUGAUAGCCAUGUGUUUUCUUUUUACCAAGAGACAUGUACUACCUGUUCAUUACAGCACUGUCAGCUUUGUUAUGAUAUUUAAAAACUGAAAACGUAAUUGCUCAUCAAUUUGCAAACUGAUUAACCGGUAAUAUGCCCAUAGUAUACAAUACUAUGCAGCUAAAAGAGAAUGAGGUCGAACUAUACUGAUAUGAGCCUGUCUCCAGUUGUUAAUUGGAUUGUUAACUGAAAAAAUCAAGUUCAACAAAACAUACAGUGAAUUCCCAUUUAUGUUAAAAACGAAAAACCAAAACGCCUGAUUUCUGUAUGUUAAAAUAGGUAUGUAAGUGCACCGGGGAAGAAUUCUAAAUUUAAAACAAGCCAUUCCCCUUAGGGAUUCCCCUAGGGUGGGAGCAACAAGGAUAAUAUAUUAUUGGAAAGUUUUACAAUGUGACUGUGUUCAUGUACUGUGUUGUCUCUGUGUUGCUAUAGUUAUCCAUGCACAAUCCUGUAUGGUUUUGCUGUCUAAUAGUGGGUAGGAAGAAAGGAAGAGGAAAUGGAUUACCAGAGUGAGAAUGUGGACAAGACCCUUCAGGUGGCUGUGACUGUCUUCCACAGGAGAGAACAAGUUGGCAUCUUCCUGUGGUCAUUUACCUCAGGCUCCAGAUGCUGGAUACUUAGUAAAUGUUCAGUACUAAGGCCCCUCCGCCCAGGUGGAAGAUGAUAACUUCAGGCUGAGCACAAGAUUCCUGGAACUGGGACUUCCCUGGUGGUCCAGUGGUAAAGAAUCCACCUUUCAGUGCAGGGGACACAGUUGGAUCCCUGGUCGGGGAACUGAGAUCCCACAUGCUGCAGGGCAACUAAGCCCGAGAGCCACAACUAUUGAGCUUGUACGCCUCAGUGAGAGAGCCCGCAUGAUGCAAACUACAGAGCCCAUGUGCCCUGGAGCCUGCGCACCACAACUAGAGAGAGAAGAAACCCGCAUGCCACAACUAGAGAAACCUGCACACCACAGCGAAGAGCCCAGGCACCUUAACGAUGCAUGCCUCAACUAAGUAAGAACAAACUCUCCCGUUACCUCACCACCAAGCCAAUCAGAAAAAAGUCACACACUCUACAGCCCUCAACCCAAAUUUUGCCUGUAAAAAUUUGUCCCUGAAAGCCGUCAGGAGUUCGGUGGUUUUUGAGCCUGAGUCACCCAUUUUCCUUGCAUGGCCCUGCAAUAAACCUUUCUCUGCUCCAAA